GAUCUUCAUACCUGUCCCGCAUUUGGUGUGAACGACUUCGUAGGAAAUGAAAGUCGCGGCUGAUCUGGUCAGAUUUAUUUUUAUUUUUGGUCAUCAGUUAGGGAAUAGAUCUGGUCAUUGUAAAUCUUUCUUUUUGGUAAACGCAUCAGGUCAUUUACAUAUUUUUUUGGUAAACGCAUCAGGUCCCCUGUUCUAAAAUACGGGCGCCUAGCCGCGUAAUCGCCCGCGUAUACGUGAAGCGUAAGGUUACCGUGGCGAAUUAGUCCAACUCGGUGACAUUAUACGGUGCUCCGAUUUUAGUCCGAGUAGCGUAUUAAAUUUGAUUAUACGGCCGCCUAAUAGAUAAUACGGUUGAUUAAAAAUCGUUUUGGCCCAAAUUAUUUGGCCCAUUUAGAUUAAAAAGAUAAAGAAAACUUUUUCUCUUUGUCCCGAUAAUAGAUUUGGGUUUUUUUCUGGGAUUUUCACACUUGGAAUCCUAAUUCUCAUCUGUGAUUUUUUUUGUCAAUCGAAAGUGAGACAUAGUGAAUCAAGAGCUGAUCCAUGUCUGAUCAUCAUUUCCACCCUUACUGAAGUCAUUUCUCGCUUAGGAAAGAAUGGACAAUCCAGCUACAGAUAUACCUCCACCAUUGAAACGAAACUCAAAUAAUGUAGGCUGGGAGUAUGGUUUGCUAUGUGAUCCACCACUUUCAGAAAAAGUGAGAUGUAGAUUUUGUGGCAAAGAGUUUUCAGGUGGCAACGGAACCAGAAAAAGUGAGAUGUAGGUUUUGUUUUUGUAUUAGAUAUGGUUGAAGAAACAACAAUUGUGAACUUGUGAUAUAUGAUCUAAUUUGGUAUUUGAUGAA